GAUGAACGCUGACAGAAUGCUUAACACAUGCAAGUCUACUUGAAUUUGGGUUUUUUAACUUAGAUUUGGGUGGCGGACGGGUGAGUAACGCGUAAAGAACUUGCCUCACAGCUAGGGACAACAUUUGGAAACGAAUGCUAAUACCUGAUAUUAUGAUUAUAAGGCAUCUUAGACUUAUGAAAGCUAUAUGCGCUGUGAGAGAGCUUUGCGUCCCAUUAGCUAGUUGGAGAGGUAACGGCUCACCAAGGCGAUGAUGGGUAGCCGGCCUGAGAGGGUGAACGGCCACAAGGGGACUGAGGAACGGCCCUUACUCCAACGGGAGGCAGCAGUGGGGAAUAUUGGACAAUGGACCAAGAGUCUGAUCCAGCAAUUCUGUGUGCACGAUGACGUUUUUCGGAAUGUAAAGUGCUUUCAGUUGGGAAGAAAAAAAUGACGGUACCAACAGAAGAAGUGACGGCUAAAUACGUG
rnacentral:rRNA from 1 species